rnacentral:rRNA from 1 species
CGUAGGAGACAAACGUUAUCCGGAGUUACUGGGCGUAAGGGCGUGGUAGGACGGGUCUGUUAAGUCUGGCGUGAAAGCUCUCGGCUAAACCGGGAGAGGUCGUUGGAUACUGGCACGACUGGAGGAUGGUAGAGGCGUGUGGAAUUCCGGGUGUAGUGGUGAAAUGCGUAGAGAUCCGGAGGAACACCAGUGGCGAAGGCGACACGCUGGGCCAUACCUGACGCUAAAGCGCGACAGCAUGGGGAGCAAACGGGAUUAGAAACCCCGGUAGUCCAUGCCGUAAACGAUGCCAGCUAGAUGUUCAAGUCGCGCAAGCGACUGGGGUAUCGCAGCUAACGCGAUAAGCUGGCCGCCUGGGGAGUACGGUCGCAAGGCUA